rnacentral:misc_RNA from 1 species
CCGAAAUUUAAAACUCACAACGCGAGUCUCGUGCGGAAGCAAAUAUGACUGCCGAGACUUUGUGACUCUUCAAGUCUUCCUUUGCUCAAGUCAAACCACACUCGUGAAGCACAUGUGACGAGUCUGUGGUGAGCAUCGGGAGCACUGCGUUUCCUUCGGGAUUCACAGUCUAAAAAACGAAUUGUAAAAGUAGUAUAAAUAAGUAUAUAAACAAAAAAAGACGAAAAAAU